rnacentral:rRNA from 1 species
GACGAACGCUGGCGGCGUGCUUAACACAUGCAAGUGGAGCGACGAACCAGGGCUUGCCCUGGGGCAGAGCCGCGAACGGGUGAGUAACACGUGGGUAACCCACCCCGAUGACCGGGACAACCCGAGGAAACUCGGGCUAAUACCGGAUGUUCUCUCUUCCUCUGAGGGAAGAGAGCAAAAGAUAGCUUCGGCCUUCGCAUCGGGACGGGCCCGCGGCCCAUUAGCUUGUUGGUGGGGUGANGGCCUA